CUUGUAGCCUGAGCAUAACUCCCUCUUUUUUCACCUGAACGUUUCUUCCUCCACAUCACAGCUCCAGCCACCACAGCUCCAGUGACCACAGCUCCAAGGAGAACCAGGCCAACAAUGUUGCCCAUGAUGGGGAUGGUGGAUUGAGGAGGCAG